rnacentral:rRNA from 1 species
GACGGUACACCAAGAAUAAGAGACGGCUAACUACGUGCCAGCAGCCGCGGUAAUACGUAGGUCUCGAGCGUUAUCCGGAUUUACUGGGCGUAAAGUGUCCGUAGCCCGACAUACAAGUCUGUUUUCAAAUACUCUGACUCAAUCAGAGAAAGGGGAUAGAUACUGUAUAUCUAGAGAUUAUUAGAGGUUAGUGGAAUUUCCGGUGGAGCGGUGAAAUGUGUUGAUAUCGGAAAGAAUGCCGAAAGCGAAAGCAGCUAACUAUGAUAAAUCUGACGGUGAUGGACGAAAGCUUGGGGAGCAAACGGGAUUAGAUACCCCGGUAGUCCAAGCUGUAAAUUAUGCUUGCUAGGUGUCUUCUCCUAUAAUUAUGUUUGUCAUAGAUAAAUGUAACUAUAGGAGGGGGUGCCGUAACCUAACGGGUUAAGCAAAUCGCCUGGGUAGUAUAUUCGCAAGAAUGAAACUCAAAGGGAUAGGCGGGGGAACACACAAGCAGUGGAUUAUCUAGAUUAAUUGGAUACAAAGCCAAGAAUCUUACCUGGACUUGACAUGCAUUGUGUCUACGGUGAAAGCCGUAUAUUUUAUAGCAAUAUAAAAACUUUGCACAGGUGGUGCAUGGUCGUCGUCAGCUCGUGCCGCAAGGUGUCCGGUUAA